AAGUCGUAACAAGGUUUCCGUAGGUGAACCUGCGGAAGGAUCAUUAGCGAAGCUCGGAAUGCGCGUUCGGUCUGAUGCUGCCCGGCAACGGGAUGUGCUCGUCUGGAUGCGUGUCCCUUCUCUAUUCCACCCCUUUGUGAACCAAGUGUGCGAGCCGAAGAGAGAUCGGAGGCUCGCAUGCAAACCCUUAACAUACCCCAAUGAAGUAUCAGAAUGUACCUUGCGUUAACUCGCACAAAUACAACUUUCAACAACGGAUCUCUUGGCUCUC
rnacentral:misc_RNA from 1 species